UAAUUUACGUAUUUGCUCUUACAAUGUUUCUUUAUUUACUAAAAAUCCCUAAUCCUAAUUUCGAUUGACGCAGCUUCUCUGGACGCAGUUUCCAUCUCUCGUCCCUCUUGUCUCCAUUGACGCAUUCCGAGCUCAGACGAACUCCAUAGACACAUCUCGAUCUUAGACAUCUCUCUCUCUCUCUCUCUCUCUCUCUCUAAUCUCACCUCGAAGCUCUCUUCUCCGAGGUCAUCUCAUUUCGAAUCUCUCUCUUCUCCAUAGCAUCUCGAGCUCGACUAAACCCAUCUCAUCCUUUUCUCGUUGAGGCUAAGAACCCAGAUAUUGAGAAGUGCUUAGAGGUUGUUGCCACUUUGGAAGCAAGGACGGUACUGGUGAGGUUCGUUGUUAAUUUUUGGAGAUACAGUUUAAGAAUGAUGCCAAUACCUCACACUGGAAUCUUAUUAAGAAAGGGUAUUGUGUAAGCCGACAACGCUUCAAGCAACAGGAGUGGCGUCAAGCUUGGUGGAGACUAUACAAGGAGUUUGCAGGCUAGAUCGACCUCUAUUCUCAGUAUCUUCUUGGAGAUGCAGGAAGUGAAAGAAGAUGAAUGAUAUAAAAACUUGUGUGUUCUCUUUUGUUUAUGAGAGCAGGGUUCCUUUCUUUUGUUAUACAUAGGGACACAAUGUUAGUUCAUUUAGGUUUGAUCCAGCUUAUACGAAAACCGGUCUGUUCAACAUGGUCUCAAAACACAAAACUGUUGCAAAUAAAUAAAAAUUUGACUUUCUCUCAGCA